rnacentral:lncRNA from 1 species
UACACGACAACUUCAAGCAAGACUACUUCUUUGGCAGAAUUUAUUGAAAGCAUUAAAGAAAAAAGGCUAAUAAAUUUUCUCCAUCAAAACAGACUAAUCCAUGUUCGCAAAUCUUGUAUCUGUGGUCAAUUCAAAGAUUUGAGCGGUGUCUAGAUAAACACAUUUGGCGAUGCAGCAGCUGUAAGAAGACAAAAACACGAAGUGGUUUUUUUGAAUGUUCAACAUCUUUAAGUAGCGAAUACUCGAAUUUUCUCAAAUGAUCACAUACUGUGUUACACUGAUGACAAGAAGAUACACAUACUUAUGAUGAGAAGAAUAUACAUAGAGGAAAAGCUUAAAACAAUGAGAUUAAGAAAAAAAGACAUUUGAAGAUUGAAAGAUAGGGAAGAU